UACAACUACAGCAUAAUCCAGUAAUCCCACUACUGAUAUCCAAUGGAAACGAAAUCAGUAUAUUUGAGUGAAAUCUACACUCCUGUGUUCUUUAUAGCAUUGGUCACAAAGGUCAAGUUAUGGAAACAACAUAAAUAUCAAGUAGGCUUUUUCCUGUGUUGUCUGUGAGGAAUUUUAUGAUUUCAGUUUUUUUACUUAAAUCACUGACCAACUUUGAGUUAAUUUUUGUACGUGGUGUAAGAUAAUCUAUUCAGAAAUGUAUGAGCCAUCCCUUUUUCACAGGGAUCUUCACUUUUCCCAAAACCAUUUAGCCAAGAGAACAGCCUUUCCUGUGGUGGGUUCUUGGGUGAAUAGACUGUACAGGAGUGGACAUAAUUUCAGCCUCGCUACUCUGUGCCUCGGAUUUUGAGAAUAAAGUCUUCUUUUUGUUAUGGCGAGACCUCAAAAGUGAAGAACCACUGCACUGAGGAAACGUGUGAAUUUGUAUGGCACCGGGAAGACAUCUCUGGGAUGAGUCUAAUGACCUAUUUCAGGGAAAGGUCACAGAAUGACUUGCUUCAGGAAGACAGAAAGGGGGAAUUCUACUAUUUCCUGAAAUGCCAAGGAACCCUGUUUGGUGGAAGAAUAUGCUGAUCCUUAUCACUAACCUCCUUUCCCAGAAGUGACUGCCCAGGCUGGGGAGAUAGCUCAGUAGAAUAAGCGCUUGCCUGGCAAGCGCAGGGGCCUGGGCCUGAG